CCCGUGACGUCACCGCGUACAAGACGACGCAGACUCACGAACGCUCUGUUAAGUAACUGCUGAAAUCUCUCUUCUCUUAAUGCCUUUAAACGCGAAAACUCAUUUAGUAUGUCUUAAACGUCCUUACAUGUCAGAAAAGAGCACGUUUCUAAUAUAUAUUUUUAAAUUAAACUAUUUUAACCCAGCAAGUACAUUGACAAAGUGAGAGAGCCGCAAACGUUUCACAUUGGCUGUGCUCACCAGGUGACAAGUCUAUUAUUACUAACUUGUUAUCGCGCACACACACAAACAUCUGCCACUCUAUAUCAGAGGUGAACUAUAAAGUAGACAGCAUCAAAAUAAUCUCAUGGAUUGCUUCCAGAUCGAGUAGCGUACAUAAACAUAACUACAGCACUGCACGCAUACACACCAGAUCACAUUAUCUCCUGCCAUUUACCUUGUCAAUAAUCCUCCAGUUGCCAAGUAACUGUUCUGGACCAUGCGAUGAGUUUUCAGGUUCAAGUGACAUCAUCGCUCCCAUGCACACAUCUCAUUGGAAACACAGAGUAUUUAAAGAGUACACUUGUGAGAAGGCAGCCCUAGAGACCCUCCUCUUCCAGAAGUUUAAAAACAGAAACCACCAAGCUGUGAAACACACCAACAACUGGGCAUUUGCCAUUUGCAGACAUUCCUGUCCUGUCAGAAACAACUUUCUACAAAGGAAGUUUCAACUCAAAAAGGAAGAUGGUCAUAUUCACAGCUGACGGCUGAGUUUUCAUUCAAACAAGACAAGAGGCCACAUGCACCAAAAUCAGUGAACAGUCAUGUCAUUAUAUAACAUCCAGAACAUAUAUAUCAAGUAAGUCUGUAAUACUUAAAAAGAGCUUUACAUUCAUCUCAACAGAAGCUGCCUAACCGGCAUGGACCCUGGAAGUACACAACAUGUCUACUGCAUACUGUACUAAAUUUCUGCAAAUAUUUACAGGAAAUUUUCUGCCAGGACAUUGUCCAUUAAUUUUACAGACUUUUCCGUUAACCCAAAAACGCAAUGCAAUGCAGUGAAAAUUCUGUAUAUAAUAUAAUGAAAAAUAUUUUAAAUGUAUAUGUUGCUUGGAAAACAACACGGGUAGUUUUGAAUUAUGCCAUGCAGAAUUUGCAUUGCACAUUGCAAACAACUAAUAAUUGUGCAUUUGCCUUUUCAGUUUAUGAGAUUCAAUCCUGUAUCAUGACAUGCAUUGUACCUUUAUAAAAUAGCGAAUGAGUAUUUGUGGUUGAUUUUCCCGAAGGAGACAUUGUAAAUGUGUAUAUAUCUACCAAAGUAUAAUGCUGUGAACUUGUAUGAGUACAGAUAUGGGGUCUCCAACCACCCUUACUCAAAGUAAUCAUGUUUCAUUGUAUCGGUUUCUAUAGCAAAAUCUGUUUUACAACAGCAAAAGUGGUUUAUCCAUGUUUUGUUGUAGCCAAACCAUGGUUAUUUUGUAUUAACCAUGGUUUAACUAGAGUAACCAUGGUUCUUUUUCUCAAGGGCAUGAUUCCUAGAUUUGAAAGUUAUUAAACAUAUAUGUUGAAUUUUGAUUUUCUGGAAAAUUUACUUUUAUAUUGUGAUUACCAAAAGUUCAUAUUGAUAAUAAGAAUUUGAGUUUUGAGGACAUUUUUGAUAUUGUUAAUUUUACUGUGUUAAGUCAUCACUUGGUGUCUAAUGUAAAUAGAGUAUCUGAAGCAGUCUGUG